AUUGAACGCUGGCGGCAGGCCUAACACAUGCAAGUCGAACGAGUGGCGGACGGGUGAGUAAUGUCUGGGAAACUGCCUGAUGGAGGGGGCUAACUCCUGGAAACGGUAGCUAAUACCGCAUACCAUCAGAUGUGCCCCGAUGGGAUUAGCUUGUUGGUGGGGUAACGGCUCACCAAGGCGCCGAUCCCUAGCUUAUCUGAGAGGAUGACCAGACACACUGGAAGUGAAAAACGGUCCAGACUCCGACGGGAGGCAGCAGUGGGGAAUAUUGCACAAUGGGCGCAAGCCUGAUGCAGACAGGCCGCGUGUAGGAAUAAGGCCUUCGGGUUGUAAAGUACUUUAAGCGGGGAGGCGUUACCCGAAGAAGAAGCACCGGCUAACGCCGUGCCAGCAGCCGCGGUAAUUC
rnacentral:rRNA from 1 species